rnacentral:lncRNA from 1 species
CACUCUCCACUCUCCCGCUGGCUACUGCUCAUCAGGAGCAAGAUGGGGGUGGGGACUGUCCAAUGAUUCCUCUGUGUGAUAGAUGACCAAGUGGCUGCAGUCGUGGGGGUCUACACAGCAGUGCAAGAUUGUUUGUAGCUGAUUUGAUCAAACUCUGGCUUCCUGAACUGGAAUGAAAUGCAGAUAACUCGUUAGCAAACUUUUGUGGGAAAAAAGUGCCUUGUGCGAUCAGAACAAAGCCGUUUUAUAAUCAGAUUUACCAAGCUGAGAAGAGGGAGUUUCAGCAAAUGGAAGCUUCAGCUUUCUGUCACCAGGAAACACUGCGUUAUCCAGAAUCGGAAUUGUUAAAGCAUACUGACUACAACUGGAGACAAAAAUGGAACCUAAGAAAAUAAAAUCACUUGGGAAGGAUGUGAAUUCAUAUAUCUUUUCUCUUAAAGUUGUUUUGAAAAGAAGCAGGAGAAUAAACUUGGACUUUGGGACCUGGAGCCUCAACUUCAGCUGCGGAAAAAAUGCAGAGCCUUCUGUUGGGAGUGGAGUGGCUUGAUAUAGAUGCCAGCGCCUCACACAUGAUAGGUAGCCACUGAGCUACAUCCCUUCCUUCUUAACGCCUCUCCUUUUUAACUGAUAGUUACAUUCCUGGAGCAUAUUGGCAGUCCCCUCAACCCCACCUCACUUUCAGCUAAGUCUCUCAAGGCACACCUCUUCUGACCUCUUCUUCCACUCACAGAAAGAGGAACCAGAUUUCCCCUGUGUUACUUACCAUCAAUAUAAACAGCAUUUUUAUUCCUGUCAUUUCCCCCUUUCAACCUAGUAAUGAAGUUGGCCACUGUUUCUCUGCACAGAAAGAAAGACUUUUCCUUUUUCUCUUGCCUUCCUCCAAGCUUAGGGAUAGUCCUUGCUUUGCUGUGUGUUCUGGACUCUAACCUUUUCUAACUUUUUAAAUUAAGCCCACAAAAAUUACUUUCCUCCCUUCCCAACCUUUCAGAUUUUCUCCACCUCCUAAUCCUCAUCUUCUACAGAGCCAUUCAAGAAGCUGAUGUCUCUACUGAGGAAUGUCAGGGCACUUGUCUUCUCCUACCUAUAUUUCUAGUUUUGUUGUAGUGGCUGACAUUCCCUGUAGUUCGUCACUAGUAGUGACCCUUUUUAGUAUCCUCCUUCCUUUUUAUAUUGUAUAUUGUAUAGUAUAACAAUAAAUGAUCUCCAGUUGAAAGUA